rnacentral:misc_RNA from 1 species
GAUGAAGAACGUAGCGAAACGCGAAAGGUAAUGCGAAUUGCAGAAUCAGUGAGUCAUCGAAUCUUUGAACGCACAUUGCGCCCCUUGGUAUUCCGGGGGGCACGCCUGUUCGAGCGCCAUUACACACCCCAAGCUAGGCUUGAUGUUGGGCGAUGUCUGUCACAGGACACGCCUGGAACGCAUGGGCGCCGCCGCCGGAUCACGAGUGCAGCAAGACGCAAGUCAUCGCUCGGUUGCUCCUGGGGGUCGGCCGCCACGGCACGCGGUAACACGUGGGCCAGUGUAUUCACGAGUUUGGCCUCGAAUCAGGCGGGGAUACCCGCUGAACUUAAGCAUAUCAAUAAGCGGAGGA